ACCCGCUGAACUUAAGCAUAUCAAUAAGCGGAGGAAAAGAAACCAACAGGGAUUGCCCUAGUAACGGCGAGUGAAGCGGCAACAGCUCAAAUUUGAAAUCUGGCGCAAGCCCGAGUUGUAAUUUGUAGAGGACGCUUCUAGGUAGCGACCGGUCUAAGUUCCUUGGAACAGGACGUCAUAGAGGGUGAGAAUCCCGUAUGUGACUGGCCCGCACCUUCUACGUAGCUCCUUCGACGAGUCGAGUUGUUUGGGAAUGCAGCUCUAAAUGGGAGGUAAAUUUCUUCUAAAGCUAAAUACCGGCCAGAGACCGAUAGCGCACAAGUAGAGUGAUCGAAAGAUGAAAAGCACUUUGGAAAGAGAGUUAAAAAGCACGUGAAAUUGUUGAAAGGGAAGCGCUCACAACCAGACUUCUAGGCAGUGUUCCGCCGGUCUUUUGACCGGUCUACUCUCUGUCUCGAGGCCAACAUCAUCUGGGACCGCCGGAUAAGACCUUAGGAAUGUAGCUCCCCUCGGGGAGUGUUAUAGCCUCUGGUGAUGCGGCGCGUCUCGGGUGAGGUCCGCGCUUCGGCAAGGAUGUUGGCGUAAUGGUUGUCAGCGGCCCGUCUUGAAACACGGACCAAGGAGUCUAACAUCUAUGCGAGUGUUCGGGUGUCAAACCCCUACGCGUAAUGAAAGUGAACGGAGGUGGGAAGCGUAAGCUGCACCAUCGACCGAUCCUGAUGUCCUCGGAUGGAUUUGAGUAAGAGCAUAGCUGUUGGGACCCGAAAGAUGGUGAACUAUGCCUGAAUAGGGUGAAGCCAGAGGAAACUCUGGUGGAGGCUCGCAGCGGUUCUGACGUGCAAAUCGAUCGUCAAAUUUGGGUAUAGGGGCGAAAGACUAAUCGAACCAUCUAGUAGCUGGUUCCUGCCGAAGUUUCCCUCA
rnacentral:rRNA from 1 species